rnacentral:rRNA from 1 species
UACGGGGGGGGCAAGCGUUGUUCGGAAUUACUGGGCGUAAAGGGCGUGUAGGCGGCCAACUAAGUCUGACGUGAAAUCCCCAGGCUCAACCUGGGAACUGCGUCGGAUACUGGAUGGCUUGAAUUCGGGAGAGGGAUGCAGAAUUCCAGGUGUAGCGGUGAAAUGCGUAGAUAUCUGGAGGAAUACCGGUGGCGAAGGCGGCAUCCUGGACCGAGAUUGACGCUGAAGCGCGAAAGCUAGGGGAGCAAACGGG